rnacentral:rRNA from 1 species
AAUCAACGCUGGCGGCGUGCCUCAGACAUGCAAGUCGAACGCGAAAUUUCCCUUCGGGGAGAAAGUAGAGUGGCGCACGGGUGAGUAACACGUAGGUAAUUUGCCUUUGGGUGGGGAAUAACUCAGGGAAACUUGAGCUAAUACCGCAUAAUGCAGCGGCUCGACAUCGAGACAGUUGUUAAAGCGGGGGAUCGCAAGACCUCGCGCCUAAAGAGAAGCCUGCGGCAGAUUAGCUAGUUGGUAGGGUAAUGGCCUACCAAGGCAACGAUCUGUAACCGGCCUGAGAGGGCGGUCGGUCACACUGACACUGACAUACGGGUCAGACUCCUACGGGAGGCAGCAGUCGGGAAUUUUGGGCAAUGGGCGAAAGCCUGACCCAGCAACGCCGCGUGAAGGAUGAAGUAUUU